UACAGGGGGGGCAAGCGUUGUUCGGAAUUACUGGGCGUAAAGGGCGCGUAGGCGGCCUGUUAAGUCGAACGUGAAAUCCCCGGGCUCAACCCGGGAACUGCGUCCGAUACUGGCAGGCUUGAAUUCGGGAGAGGGAUGCGGAAUUCCAGGUGUAGCGGUGAAAUGCGUAGAUAUCUGGAGGAACACCGGUGGCGAAGGCGGCAUCCUGGACCGAGAUUGACGCUGAGGCGCGAAAGCCAGGGGAGCAAACGGG
rnacentral:rRNA from 1 species